GGAACUGGCCACAAAGCAGCAGCAUUGCCUGAAGCCCCACUCCAGUUCCUGAGGCAACCUGAGCCUUCGACAGCAGGAUCAGGAAGUCAAAUAACGGAGGAAGAAAUAACAACUGUGGAUGAAGCAUAAGAAAUUGAAAUUUCUACCCCCAAAUUGGUUUGAAAUCUCCUAAGCCUUCUUACAAACAUAAUAG